CUCCCCAACAGCCACAUCACUUGCUCCAGCUUUUCCUGUUUAUUACUCCUCAUCAUUAUUUUCUAAUUCAUCUUUAAUUGAUUCGUCUUCCGUUGUAUCACCCUCUUCAAUUCCAUCUUUUGGCUUUAGAAAACUUAUAUUUUACGUUUAACUUAUUUAAAAAUGCGUGGUUAAAUAAUUUAAACUUUAAUUAGUCUGAUUUAAAACUGAUUAAAAUGAAACACGCAAAAUAAUACUUCACAAGCAGCCAUGAUAUAUGUAGCUCAAAACAAAACUUGUUCAAUCAAACACACGAGAACUUUUGUUGUCUCUUUCUCUCAUUCGGGGUGCUGUACGAGAGAAGAGUUGAGUUAAUGUUUAUGCACAUUUUACCCUUUGUUGCGUAUGUGUGUAUGUAGUGGUGUUAUUUGAAUGUGUUGGAGUUUCAGUACCUAUGACUUGCUGGGUAUAAACAAAAUUCGGAACAACAAAGCGAAAAAAAAGUUUUACUCCCAUAUAGGAAGGUAGCUAUACUCGGUAUGACCGCGGGGAAUUCUACCAGCAGUUCUUCAACACAUACAACGGCAAUCGCUCAUCAAUCGUACAAUACAAAUUCGAACGAGAAUUCGCCGUAUGAUGGAAGAAGAACUCGUAGUCCUUUGUGUCAGGAAGUAACAAAAAUUAUGCACCUAAAAAUUCAACACAAAAAAUGCUACAACAACAGAGCAUGAAUAUUGGUAUUACUACUUCCCAUGCGUAUAAUAAUAUUGGAUAAACGCAAAAUGGUGUAACAUGAGUAACAGCAAUAACAAAUAAUACAAAUAACAAGGCAUCGGAUGAUAUACAAUAAAUUAGAUCGGACUUUUGGAGUUUUGGAGUAGCAGUUUCAGUACUUAUUUUCGACGUGCUAAACACAGUGUCUUCUAUGGUACCCUUGGACCUACAAUUACACAACGGAGAGUAUAAAUUAGCACAAUCGUAAUAGUAGUGAAAUUUAAUUUGUAUUGUAUAACAACACAAAAAAUCAAUAGUUAAAACUUUUGAGAAAUUGCAAAUUAUAAAAAUUUAAUAUUUAAUACUAACUUCAAUUAUAGUUUACUUCGUACUGAAAUGCUAUUAUUUAAAAAUUAAUCUAUAAUAAUUAUUAAUAACUAGCAGACCCGGCCACACGUUUUUGUGGCUAAGGUAUACAUUAAAUUAGUAAAUCUUUCAAUGCAGAGAAAAAAUUCUUACGCAUAAAGACGAAAACGUUAUAGCCGAUAAAUUUUAAAAUGAUUGAUAGACAUUAUUGCAGAUCUGUGUUAAGCGUAAAUCAUCAUAAAUUGUAAAACUUUGAUGUUUUUAAUCGUAUAUUGGAGAAAGUAACAAAUGACCAAAUUUCAUAGUUGACUUUAUCUUGGCUUUGGUGACGAUAUUGAUUACCUUCUUCACAGCCAGUCUUGUUCUUUUGCAACUCACACUACUUUUAAUUGCAAGUGAGUGGGGAUAGUCCAGCAAUUUAAAAUAGUCUGUGGGAUAAUUGAAUACGUCAUCCUGGUUUGUAGCUGUGUUAACGAAAUUCUAAAUUGUCGCAUUAAGAUCAAAAAAAUCCUUGUUUUUUUACCACCAAUAUAGGUCAUUCAAGCAGCCAUUUAUAUGUUAUGUCAGGAAAAACACGAUGAAUAAGCUCCCCUUUCGAGGCCAUGAAGUGACAGAAACCCGUUAAAAAAUAUGUUGGAAAUGUUAUUAAUCCCUCGAGGUGUCAACUGCGUCGCUACCAUUUCCAACUAUUUCUACAAUCGUAGUAUGAUAUUGAUGGAAAAACACUCGUAUGUUAUUUGUUAAUUGGCGAUUCUUUAUGUGUUGCCACAAAUUAGAUGGUUUUAGGAAAGUGAUUAGUUCUUCAGCAACAGUUGAUCCAGGAAUAGUCUGGCGAAAAUCACCUGUCACAACAGAAUCAUGUCAUCACCAAAAAUAUUUUCGUUGUCGCGUAAAUCUUUUAAAGUCCUGUGCAGUACCUCCAGCGACUUGAAUAUCUGGAAAAUCUUCUUUAUAGCUCUUUUUUUGGCGAUUUUGCAGACCGGUGUUUCGUUGAUUUACAAUUUAGGAGUAAUUUCAAGGCCGAAUUGCCGUUGUCUGCCUACUAACAGGUGCCAAGUUGUCCCUAUUCCCAUUAUAACUGGGCGUUGAAAAUGAGUGAAAUCGGUUCCGGAAUUACCUCAACCCUCAUGUACUAUAUAUGCUGAUUUUCGUUAUUCUAUUGCACUUUAUUUCAAAUUGUGUGUAAUAAAAUUACAUCAAUAAAUUGCGAGAGUAUAAAAUGUUCGGUUGCCUUUCCCUACUUGUUACAAAUUGUUUUGGGCUAUCGACACAGCCUUAUACAAUUGAACAAUGAGAAAAAUAUUUUAACAAAGCAACAACGACAACUUUCAAAAUAUUAUUAUUGUCGAGGUACUCGACGUUGAGUUGCCGGUGUGCCAAAUAAAAUAAGAUGAUUAGUUUUGAUAUAAUUUAAGUUUUGUGUAUUUGGGUGAGUGGGGUAUAAAUGAUAUACAAUUUGUGUGUGUUAGUUUACAAACGAGUGGGUGUGUGUGUGGGUUAGAUUAUAAUUCAAUCUUAGAUUUAAGGUAAUAUUAAAUGUAUAUUUAUAACCUGUUGAAUGGGUGGGUAAUCCCGCGUUGGUUGGGUGUGUUAUCUCCUGGUGCUCUAGGGGUGGUUGAGUGAUCCGCGGUGAUCUCACUUGUUUUGGCGCCUUUUUGUCCGUCCGUGGAUUCUUCUUCUCUUCUUGGGUUGUUAUCUUAUUGUUGUGUAUAUUCGCGGGUUAUGUUGGCGCUGUUGUGCAUUAUUGCAUUGCCCUUUAAUUCGUAUUAUAGGACAAUGUAGGGUUGUGUUCAUCUGGCAUGAACAUCCCGGCCGCCUUGAAGGGUCUGCGAAUAAAAAUUAUUAGUUAAGGGUCUUGAUACGGGUUAAUCAGUAAUCUUGGGGUCUAAAUCGCACAAGCACCGGUUAGAGUCCAACCGAGUGCGGUGUUUUGUGCGAUCACGAUAGAACUUUUCCUGGGUGUGUCCGUUCUUAGGGUCAAAGCGUUAUAUUCCUCCUUGAAGUACUUUCUUCGCGUUAUAAUAUUUAGCUUCGUAAGGGUCGUGUUGUUUUUAUAUAACUUCUCUUUGUGGUAUUCUCGUUGGGGCACAAUGGUUGUGCGUAAGCAUGAGGGCUUGCUAUUGUAGAGUCCGUCCAAAGUUGAGUGCGAUACUGGGUGUUGUUUAAUUAGGGUAGAGUCGCAUCCACUAAAUUUGCUAGAAUAACGGCUCCGCUUUGUUUUUGGGUAAUUGUGUGGGGUCAUUUUAUUAAAGAAUGACAUUACCGUGGGUGAGAUGUUUAUUUCGGGAGUGGGUCCAGACAGAAUCCAGCCGAAUUCUGUUUCUUGGGCUAGUAGUGUCCCAAAAACAUUCCUUUGUACUCCACUGAGUACAAUUCGUGGGUACAAAUCACUACCAAUUAUGAUGUCCACGGGUCUGGGUUUGUAGAAGUAUGGGUCCGCUAAACUAAAACCGAAUUUUGCAUUGACAAUUGUUGAGUCGAGUGGGUGAGUGGGUAAAUUAUCGGUUAAAAAUUUUAAGAUCAACGCGUGGGUUGUUAUCGUAAACUCUUUAUUUGUUGGUGAUCGAAGGGUGAGCUCGCAAGUUUUGCUAGCUGUUGCGGAUACUGUGUUGUUUAAUCCAAUCACUUGCGCAUUUCUAUGGGUAGUGGGUAUGUCCAAUCUUCUUUGGAAAUUUUCAGAAAUUAAUGUGGCUUCUGACCCGGAGUCUAUGAGUGCUCUGGCUGUGUAUAAUUUCCCUUUGUUGUACACUUGCACUAUAGCAGUACCUAACAAAAUCUGCUUCCUAUUUGAGUUGAGUGGGUCUUGGGUUCUAUUUUGAGUGGACUGUAAUAGGGUUGUGUAGGCUUGCGGAUUUGUAUUGAGAUUGUGGGCCUGGGAGGUACUGUUUGGGUUUGAAUCAAGAGCCGGGUUUGAGGCUCUUGGUCCUUGCGGGGGAGAAUGUGAUCGGGGUGUGAUCUCUCUAUGCAGAAGAGUGUGGUGUUUCCCUCUGCAUAUUCUGCAAGAAUAUUUGCUCUUGCAGUCUUUGAAAUUGUGCGAUAAUGCGAGGCAAUUAUAGCAGUAGCCAUUAUUUUUUACUGUAGUUAUUCGGGUUUCAACACUCAUGUGUGAAAAUUUCGGGCAUUCUCGAAUGGAAUGUUGUUUUCUACAUAAUAUACAACUCUCAUUGUUUUGAUAUGUGUUUGAUAAGCUGCUAUCUCUUGGAGGGUUUUCAGUUGAGUAAAAAUGAAGGGUCGAAAUUCCAGAGACGUUUGGGUGAAAGCCAUUAAGUUUCCUGUCCUUUCUGUAGGGUCCACUGUUGGAUGGGGUAACUGGAGCGGGGUCAAUCAGAUUUUCUACUGCUUCCAUAGAUUUGUAUUUGUGGGUGAGAAACGCAUCGAAAGUUUUCCAUGAUGGUAUUUCUGAGUUGUCUUCUAGGGUGUCUUCAAACUGAUGAAGUAGCAAGACCCUACUAGUAGUUUCAAUCCGCAUAAGAAUAUUAAAAUGGGGUCCCAGCUACUAGUGUCUAUAUACAUAUUAUGCAGAUUCGUAAGACAAUUGUUGAUGGUCCUCUGGAGGUGUUUAAUCGCGCUUGCAUUUUCUUGGGUUGCAUAGGGUAAAUUGAACAAAACUUUCAAUUGCGCGUUAACUUGUACACGUUUGUUUUCGUAUUGUAAUACGAGGUCCCUCCAUGCCAUCACGAAACCAUCAUUUGUUAAAGGGGCGUUUUUGACUAUGUCUCUUGCUUCUCCUCGGGUUUUUUGAACAAGAUGAAAUAGUCUCUCCACGUUGCUAAUUUUUGGGUUGUGUAUAUAUACAGCGGUGAACACGUCCCUGAAAGAGGGCCAUGUUUCGAAAUCGCCAUAAAAUAUAUCCGUGUCACACGGGGGCAGCUGCAUUGAGGGUCUCGUGUCCAUCGACGAGUUUUCUUCUGCAGCGGGUUCCUUUAAUGGUAUUGGGGUCUUGAGAUCAUCAAUAGUUUUAUUGAUUGAUCCCAAACAUUUUAGAUACGAUUUAUGCCCUUUUUUAAAUUGUUCUUUGACUUUUGCGAAGUCAAUAUUCUCGGGUUUGUGUGGGGCUCUGCGAAAGGCGUCGUACGAUUUAUUUGCCUUAUCGUAAAUAGCAUUCAGUUCAACUCUUUUUAUUUCCAGAGUAUAAACGGUUUCAUCUUCGGGUGAGGUCUCACUAUGUUCUUCGAUGUAUUCGAACAAAUCGGACAUACAAAAUUUAAAAUCUUCCAUUUUCAAUAAAAGUGUGAAGUAUUUAAAGAGUCGGGUCGGAAUAAAUAUUAAAACUUAAGUAAAACAAAUUUGGAAUUUGAGUUAAAGUUCUUUAUUUGAAUAGCAAAAAAAUUAAUUCCGAAAUUUGACGAGUAAAUAUCUUUGGUUUGUUUUGUCCUCUGGGUGGUUAGAGGGUUAAUUAUUAAAAUUUUUUUUCUUUGUGUCUGAUAUGUACACAAUAUUUGAGUUUGGGUCGCGAAAAUUUUUAAGUUCCGAUGAACAGAAAAAUUUCCUAAUGGGUAUUUGCUAAUUUUUCCUACCGGGUAUUGUGGCUUACGCGCAGUUUGUUAUGCGUGCACUAGCAAUGCUCUGAGCAAAGCGGCUAA